AGCGAACGCUGGCGGCAGGCUUAACACAUGCAAGUCGAGCGGGCCCUUCGGGGUCAGCGGCAGACGGGUGAGUAACGCGUGGGAACGUACCCUUUGGUUCGGAAUAACGCUGGGAAACUAGCGCUAAUACCGGAUACGCCCUUUUGGGGAAAGGCUUGCUGCCGAAGGAUCGGCCCGCGUCUGAUUAGCUAGUUGGUGGGGUAAUGACCUACCAAGGCGACGAUCAGUAGCUGGUCUGAGAGGAUGAUCAGCCACACUGGGACUGAGACACGGCCCAGACUCCUACGGGAGGCAGCAGUGGGGAAUAUUGGACAAUGGGCGCAAGCCUGAUCCAGCCAUGCCGCGUGAGUGAUGAAGGCCUUAGGGUUGUAAAGCUCUUUUGUCCGGGACGAUAAUGACGGUACCGGAAGAAUAAGCCCCGGCUAACUUCGUG
rnacentral:rRNA from 1 species